AGUGAACGCUGGCGGUAGGCCUAACACAUGCAAGUCGAACGGCAGCACAGUAAGAGCUUGCUCUUACGGGUGGCGAGUGGCGGACGGGUGAGGAAUACAUCGGAAUCUACUUUUUCGUGGGGGAUAACGUAGGGAAACUUACGCUAAUACCGCAUACGACCUACGGGUGAAAGCAGGGGAUCUUCGGACCUUGCGCGAUUGAAUGGGCCGAUGUCGGAUUAGCUAGUUGGCGGGGUAAAGGCCCACCAAGGCGACGAUCCGUAGCUGGUCUGAGAGGAUGAUCAGCCAACCUGGAACUGAGAAAGGGUCCAGACCCCUACGGGAGGCAGAAGUGGGAAAUAUUGGAAAAUGGGCGGAAGCCUGAGCCAGCCAUACCGGGUGGGGGAAGAAGGCCUGCGGGUUGAAAAGCCCUUUUGUUGGGAAAAAAAAGGAGCAGGUUACAACCCCCCUGUUCAAAGGGACCCCAAAGAAAAAAAACCGGCAAACUUCGU
rnacentral:rRNA from 1 species